UACGGAGGGUGCAAGCGUUACUCGGAAUCACUGGGCGUAAAGAGCGCGUAGGCGGGAUAGCAAGUCAGAUGUGAAAUCCUAUGGCUUAACCAUAGAACUGCAUUUGAAACUGUUAUUCUAGAGUAUGGGAGAGGUAGGUGGAAUUCUUGGUGUAGGGGUAAAAUCCGUAGAGAUCAAGAGGAAUACUCAUUGCGAAGGCGACCUGCUAGAACAUAACUGACGCUGAUGCGCGAAAAGCGUGGGGAGCAAACAGG
rnacentral:rRNA from 1 species